UGAUUAUUAUUAAAGCGACCUGUGC
rnacentral:sRNA from 1 species